UGUAAAUAACUUGUUUAAAGUUUGGGGAAUAUAGAAGGGAGUUAAGAAAAAUAAUUUUAUAAUUUUAGUAAUUUUUAAUGAAAAUUAAGUAAAGACUAGAGAGAAAAGUACUGUGAAGGAAAGUUGUUGAGAUUUUAUAUAGAAAAAGUAAAAUUUUGUGCCUCGUGUAUCAGAAAAAAUUUAUAUAAUUUAGUUAAUGGUAAGUAUCUCGAAAUAAAAUAUAGUAAUUUUUAUAAAAUUUUCUUUUUAGAAAAAAAGAAUUUAAUAUAAAAUUUAAAGUGAAAUGCUAGCUGAGUUUUAUGAUAUCUAGUUUUUUAAAAAAUAAAUUUAAUUUAAUUUUUACGAAGAAAGAAUUGUAAAAUUAAAUGGUAGGGGGGAUUAGCUCUUUACGGAAAAGUCAAUGAAAUAGGUAGAUAUAAAGAAAUUAUAUAAAUUAGGCUUAGAAGUAGCUAUAUUGAAAAAGUGUUUUAACUAAAUUAUAAUUACUUGAAUAUUUAAGAUAACUUUUGUUAGGUAUUAAAAAAACGGUUUAAACAAAAUAAAACGAAAUAUAAUGAUUUUAUUAGUAAAAUUUAUUAAGUAAAUAAAAAU
rnacentral:rRNA from 1 species